CAGUCGCCGCGGUAAUACGUAGGUGGCAAGCGUUGUCCGGAAUUAUUGGGCGUAAAGGGCUCGCAGGCGGUUUCUUAAGUCUGGUGUGAAAGCCCCCGGCUCAACCGGGGAGGGUCAUUGGAAACUGGGAAACUUGAGUGCAGAAGAGGAGAGUGGAAUUCCACGUGUAGCGGUGAAAUGCGUAGAGAUGUGGAGGAACACCAGUGGCGAAGGCGACUCUCUGGUCUGUAACUGACGCUGAGGAGCGAAAGCGUGGGGAGCGAACAGGAUUAGAUACCCCGGUAGUCCUUGUCUCUUAUAC
rnacentral:rRNA from 1 species